rnacentral:lncRNA from 1 species
AUCAAACAAAUAUUGCUUAUUAGCUCACAACCCCAAAUCUUAACAUGCUUAAGAUUUGUCUUUCUUUCCAACUACAUCUUAUGGAGUCAUGAAAAAUUUGGAAGAUCUUCUAAUUGACAAUCAUAUUGUUUUUAGAAGUAUAUAUCCUAUAUAUGGGUAAUAGAUAACAUCCAACGAACUAAAUCUUAUUUAAGUUCGUUCUUCUCCUUAUGUAGAAAUCUAUUAUCUUAUGAUGCUUAUUUCCUUGAUAUCUUUCAAGGAAAUUGUUCUAAAGUGUUACCUUAUCUUGGAUCAAAUCUAAGGAGGUAAAUACUUUAGACGUCUUACUCAUCAACUUACAUUACUUGAAUUCUUUGAAACAUUUUGCAAAGUAUUCGGAUUUGUGUUUAUUCAAAAUAAACUAUAGUCCAACCGAGAGUGAUCUUCGGUGAAUGUCAUAUAACAUGAGUAGUAUUAUGUUGUGGACAAGUGCCAACAACAUCUAAGUGAAUUAACCUCAACAACUUUGUGAUUCUUUCUUCUUUCCAAAAAAAUAAAGAUUCGAACAUUUCGCCUCUAUACAAUUUUAAAAGGAAGGUAUUGGAUCCGGAUCUAACGAUCCAAAGCAUCCAUCUUUCACCAACUCGUAACUUAUGUUUUAGAGGUAUCAGAAUUUAGUUGGGAUUAGUCACUACCUUGCAACCUUUUUCGGUUUUAAGCAUCAUUUUAUUCUAAACAGUUAACACCACCAUAUUAUCUCUACUAUAGAGACAAUCAAUUAGAUUACUAUAAUUCAAUCAUUGAUUAAUAAAGAACAAUGUUUUGUCAAACAAAACAUUCAUCCAUCUCUACUAUAGUGACGGAAUUAAGUUCCUUAAAAUUGGAAUGUAAAGACAAUCUUUGGUUUUUCCAAUUUCUUUGGUAGUUCAUAUGAGGAAGUAAGUACUAUCUGCUUUCGUAGAGAUCUAUAUUUUAUUCACGUUCCGAAUGUGAAGCACCUUUUUCUUCUCUCAUAUAUCUUCUACUUCUUAUUAGUCACACUUUUACAACGAUUGUAAAACAUAGUUGCUAAUACGGAAUCAAGCAUUCAAGUAGAAGAACCAACUGUUUUGAACUAUUCAAGAACAAUUUACAACACCUUCGAAAGGUGUGUUCUUGAUACUUGCAAGACAUUUCUUGCAAAUACCCCUUCCAAUGUCCAUCCUUUCAUAAAGAAAGUUUGUUCCCUUGGAGUUAAUUUUAUCUUCUUCAUUUGACUUUCACCUUUGACUACAUUAGUCAUGGUCCCUAAACUCCCACUAUCUCUCUUGAAACUUAUUUCAAUUGUGUUAUACACAUCAAACGAUUUUGGAGAGUAUGUGUUUAUUGUUCACUAUAUAGUUUACAAUAAACUUAGUGAACCAUUAGGAUAGGGACAUAAAGGUGAAGUCCUAGCCUAGUCUCCGUCUCGUUAAAUGGUUUAUCACUUCAACACUCAAUGAUUCAAAAUCAUCAUAAGUCCAUGUUGAUGGACUAUUUUUGUCAACCAACCAUUAUGUUCUAAACAUAAUUACAAACUUUCAAGAGUUGUACAAGGCAACUCUCAUUUCUUCAUACAACAAUUUGUAAGUGAAGAAUCAUGGCACAUAAAGUGUCCAUGCCAUUGUGCUUUCUUCUCAAGUUCUUUGUUCAUUUAACAAAGAAACAAGCACUAGUGUUUGCAUUGACUAAGGGUUGUUCAAAGCAACUCUUAUUUCUUCAUACAACGAUUUGUAAUUGAAGAAUUAUGACAUUAAAAGUGUUGUCCUCUUUAUGAUAGACUUUUUCUAACAUAUU